rnacentral:rRNA from 1 species
ACGUAUGGGGCGAGCGUUGUUCGGAAUUAUUGGGCGUAAAGGGCGUCUAGGCGGGGGAUUAAGUUAGAUGUGAAAGCUAUGGGCUCAACCCAUAAAUUGCAUCUAAGACUGGUUCUCUUGAGUUCGGGAGAGGAGAGCGGAAUUCCAGGUGGGGGGGUGAAAGGCGUGGUAAUCGGGAGGACCCCAGUGGGGGAGGGGGGUUCCCUGGCUAGGGACUACCGUUGAAGGGCGAAGCCGGGGGAGCGAACAG